GACGAACCGCGCGAACGUUGUUCGGAAUCACUGGGCUUAAAGGGCGCGUAGGCGGCUUGCCAAGUCAGGGGUGAAAUCUUUCGGCUUAACCGGAAAAGUGCCUUUGAUACUGGCGAGCUCGAGUGAGGUAGGGGCAGAUGGAACUGUUGGUGGAGCGGUGAAAUGUGUUGAUAUCAACAGGAACGCCGGUGGCGAAAGCGAUCUGCUGGACCUCUUCUGACGCUGAGGCGCGAAAGCUAGGGGAGCAAACGGG
rnacentral:rRNA from 1 species